rnacentral:lncRNA from 1 species
CAGUCGACGACAUGGAUUGUGGUACCAAAUCCACAGCAGCUGAGGCCAAGUAGUCUCUUAAACGCACAGAGGAGCCGCCACGUGUCUGAGCUUUUGGUGCUGCCCCAGGAGGAGGCUGCUCAGCCCGAGACCGCGGUGGCGAGUUUUGUGUCAGCGCUCGGGAGAGGGGAGCUUCGGCCGUCUGGAGGUUUGACAGGGGGAGGCAGGAAGGGAAAUGCUAAGGCUGCAUGUUUGACUUGCUGGAGCUUUAAACAGAAAAACAAAYGGAGAGCGCUUUUCUCGCCCGUUUUGGGACAAUGACCGUAACUGAGGAAGCUUCACGUUUGGGAUUAUUUCACUUUCCUGUCCAGCCUGGUAUCUGAAGUUCUACUCGCCUUCGAGGAGGUAUAAGCACUGAGAUUCCCAGGAUGUAAGAAAUACAUUACUGUGAGUAGCUUUUUUUCUAUUUUGCUUUUAAGAGAGAAAACCAACCUUGCGCAAACAGAAGGAAGAUUUAAAAAAAGAGAAAAAGACACUUUAAGAAAUGUUUACAGCAAGCAAAUCUAGUAUUUUGGAACCAGUUGUACAUCUUUGGCACCUCUUUGCAACCCACAAAAUAAAGUGAGCACUGUAUUAUCA